rnacentral:rRNA from 1 species
AUGCCCACCCUGCCUCAUAUUGUGCCGGAAUGGUAUUUCCUACCGACCCAUGCCAUUCUUCGCAGUAUACCUGACAAAGCGGGAGGUGUAGCCGCAAUAGCACCAGUUUUUAUAUCUCUCUUGGCUUUACCUUUUUUAAAGAAAUGUAUGUGCGUAGUUCAAGUUUUCGACCGAUUCACCAAGGAAUAUUUUGGUUGCUUUUGGCAGAUUGCUUACUACUAG